GACGAACGCUGGCGGCGUGCCUAAUACAUGCAAGUCGAACGAACUCUGGUAUUGAUUGGUGCUUGCAUCAUGAUUUGCAUUUGAGUGAGUGGCGAACUGGUGAGUAACACGUGGGAAACCUGCCCAGAAGCGGGGGAUAACACCUGGAAACAGAUGCUAAUACCGCAUAACAACUUGGACCGCAUGGUCCGAGUUUGAAAGAUGGCUUCGGCUAUCACUUUUGGAUGGUCCCGCGGCGUAUUAGCUAGAUGGUGGGGUAACGGCUCACCAUGGCAAUGAUACGUAGCCGACCUGAGAGGGUAAUCGGCCACAUUGGGACUGAGACACGGCCCAAACUCCUACGGGAGGCAGCAGUAGGGAAUCUUCCACAAUGGACGAAAGUCUGAUGGAGCAACGCCGCGUGAGUGAAGAAGGGUUUCGGCUCGUAAAACUCUGUUGUUAAAGAAGAACAUAUCUGAGAGUAACUGUUCAGGUAUUGACGGUAUUUAACCAGAAAGCCACGGCUAACUACGUGCCAGCAGCCGCGGUAAUACGUAGGUGGCAAGCGUUGUCCGGAUUUAUUGGGCGUAAAGCGAGCGCAGGCGGUUUUUUAAGUCUGAUGUGAAAGCCUUCGGCUCAACCGAAGAAGUGCAUCGGAAACUGGGAAACUUGAGUGCAGAAGAGGACAGUGGAACUCCAUGUGCAGCGGUGAAAUGCGUAGAUAUAUGGAAGAACACCAGUGGCGAAGGCGGCUGUCUGGUCUGUAACUGACGCUGAGGCUCGAAAGUAUGGGUAGCAAACAGGAUUAGAUACCCUGGUAGUCCAUACCGUAAACGAUGAAUGCUAAGUGUUGGAGGGUUUCCGCCCUUCAGUGCUGCAGCUAACGCAUUAAGCAUUCCGCCUGGGGAGUACGGCCGCAAGGCUGAAACUCAAAGGAAUUGACGGGGGCCCGCACAAGCGGUGGAGCAUGUGGUUUAAUUCGAAGCUACGCGAAGAACCUUACCAGGUCUUGACAUACUAUGCAAAUCUAAGAGAUUAGACGUUCCCUUCGGGGACAUGGAUACAGGUGGUGCAUGGUUGUCGUCAGCUCGUGUCGUGAGAUGUUGGGUUAAGUCCCGCAACGAGCGCAACCCUUAUUAUCAGUUGCCAGCAUUAAGUUGGGCACUCUGGUGAGACUGCCGGUGACAAACCGGAGGAAGGUGGGGAUGACGUCAAAUCAUCAUGCCCCUUAUGACCUGGGCUACACACGUGCUACAAUGGAUGGUACAACGAGUUGCGAACUCGCGAGAGUAAGCUAAUCUCUUAAAGCCAUUCUCAGUUCGGAUUGUAGGCUGCAACUCGCCUACAUGAAGUCGGAAUCGCUAGUAAUCGCGGAUCAGCAUGCCGCGGUGAAUACGUUCCCGGGCCUUGUACACACCGCCCGUCACACCAUGAGAGUUUGUAACACCCAAAGUCGGUGGGGUAACCUUUUAGGAACCAGCCGCCUAAGGUGGGACAGAUGAUUAGGGUG
rnacentral:rRNA from 1 species